GGAAUAUAAGAAACCGCUUCUUAAUUUUUAACUAAAAAAGUUAGGAACCGGAACCGGUUCUUAAAUUUUUUAGUUAAAAGUUAAGAAACAGUUUUUUAUAUUCC
rfam:Brassica oleracea var. oleracea cultivar TO1000 chromosome C2, whole genome shotgun sequence